GCCCAAGUGGUGAAAUUGGUAGACACGCCAGAUUUAGGUUCUGGUACCGCGAGGUGUGUAGGUUCGAGUCCUAUCUUGGGCA
rnacentral:tRNA from 1 species